rnacentral:rRNA from 1 species
UACGUAGGGGGCGAGCGUUGUCCGGAAUUAUUGGGCGUAAAGAGCGUGUAGGCGGCUUUGUAAGUUACUUGUGAAAUCUCUGAGCUUAACUCAGAACGGUCAAGUAAUACUGCAGAGCUUGAGUGCAGAAGGGGCAACUGGAAUUCUUGGUGUAGCGGUGAAAUGCGUAGAUAUCAAGAGGAACACCUGAGGCGAAGGCGGGUUGCUGGGCUGACACUGACGCUGAGGCGCGAAAGCUAGGGGAGCAAACAGG